rnacentral:rRNA from 1 species
GACGAACGCUGGCGGCGUGCCUAAUACAUGCAAGUUGAGCGCUGAAGGUUGGUACUUGUACCAACUGGAUGAGCAGCGAACGGGUGAGUAACGCGUGGGGAAUCUGCCUUUGAGCGGGGGACAACAUUUGGAAACGAAUGCUAAUACCGCAUAAAAACUUUAAACACAAGUUUUAAGUUUGAAAGAUGCAAUUGCAUCACUCAAAGAUGAUCCCGCGUUGUAUUAGCUAGUUGGGGAGGUAAAGGCUCACCAAGGCGAUGAUACAUAGCCGACCUGAGAGGGUGAUCGGCCACAUUGGUACUGAGACACGGCCCAAACUCCUACGGGAGGCAGCAGUAGGGAAUCUUCGGCAAUGGACGAAAGUCUGACCGAGCAACGCCGCGUGAGUGAAGAAGGUUUUCGGAUCGUAAAACUCUGUUGGUAGAGAAGAACGUUGGUGAGAGUGGAAAGCUCAUCAAGUGACGGUAACUACCCAGAAAGGGACGGCUAACUACGUG